UUAUUGAUUAAUUUUAAUUUUAGAUUUGGUUUCAACAUGCAAUAUUUAAAAUGACUAUUGUACUUUAUUUUCAAGAAAUAAUGGAAAUUGGAAUAAAAAUGUAAAAAAAUUACUUUUUCUACUUUAUGUUCUUAAAAUCACCACAUGGUAUUGAAAGCUAAAAGUUUUCAUCUAAAUUAUACUUUAAUAUAUUAAAUUUUAGUACAAUAUAAGUUACAUUUAGUUAGAAAUGCAAUUUUAGACAAGGGGAUAUUAACAUGGAUUAACCCAUGUUGCCCCAUGCAGUUGCAUUAAUAUUCAGAUAUUCUAAUACUUUAGAAAUUAUUAUUUUUUAAAUAUAGUUUUUGUUGGAAUAAAUUUAUAGUAGAAAAUAUUUAAAAAAUUGAAACACUCAUAGCUAGAAAUAUAAAAUGUAAUUAUUAAAGUUUUGAAUACUUUAAAUAAAAGAUAACUUUAUGCUUAUUUCUGGUUUUGCAAAAUCUGUCGACUUAUUCCUUGUUUAUAGAUACAAAACAUGUGACCUACUUCAUGGGUAAUCAGUUUUAAUUUUAUUUGAGUAUUUGUACAUAUCACGAAUCAAUGGUGAAAAUGGAACCCAAAGACAAUAUUUUGUUUGAUAAACGUCAACUUGUUAUUUAUCAUUAUGAAAAAAGCAAAUUGUAUCAAGAAAUUGUAAAUUAUGAAAUUUAGGUGAGAGUCGCUAAGAGACAUAAAAAGAUACGUUUGUAAAGAUUGCAUUGAAUUGAUACCAGAAAGAAUAUCUAAAAAUUAUUUAAUUUAUGAGAUAAACAUAAAAUUAUUAGAAAAAGAAAAUGAAAUAUUUAAAAUUAGGAAAUAAUGAGCUCAAGACCACGCAGAAUCGUCAUCUCUUCUCCUUCUAUUCCUUUCGUUUGGGUCACCGAAGCUAUCUUGUUUUGGUCGUUAUUAUUUGUAUCUAUUCUCACUGAAAUGUAACAUCCCAUCUCACAAUGCUGUGACACGAGUUUUGGUGCUUAAAGAAGCUCUUGUCUCUGCACACGCUCUUUGAGGUCGUUUAUUAUGUUAUUGUGCUAAAACGUUAAAAGAAGAUGUACAUCGCAGUUUUGCACAAUCUCUAUUCGGUAACUUGUUUUUAUUUUUUAUUUUUGACCUUUUUAUUUAUAUCGAUAAAUUUAUAUCUUAAUUAGUGCGAUUAAUUUGUUGUUUUAUAGACUUAUAAAUCUGUACUGAAGAAGACCGUCUUCUCGAUACCAAAGAAUCAAAGAAGAAUUAAAGGUCGAAACGUUUGCUUGACAUUGGAUUUAUGCUGAUUUAUUUAUUUGCGUCUGACAUCCUGCGUGGCUUUUGAGCUCAUUAUUUCUUAAUUUUAAUUUAUUUAUAAGAGCCUUAACCUUUAUUUAUUUUGUUUGUAAAAUAUUUAAGUACACCAAAAUUGAUCACAGAAGAGACUGACAAAAAAGUAUAUUCUGAUAUAGUUUGUUGUUGAAUGAAAAUGAUUACAACGGUAGAAUUGCUCGUAAAAAGCCAUUCAUAACUGAGAUAAAUCGGAAGAAAAAAUUAAUUUUUGCCAAGUUUAUUUCUUUAUUACAUAAUUUGUGUAAUUUAUAUAAUUUAUAUCAUUUCACCAUGCUUGCUCUUAGAAAUCAGUAUACUCCAAGUCAUUGAAGACAUUGCUAUAUAACGAGUCUACAUUGUUGCUUGUUUAUACCUCAUAAUCACAUCAUGUGUUUCUAUCAAAAUUAUAAAGUAUCUGAAUCUACUUUUGUUAUUUUUACGAUAACAAUUUAGCAGCAACGUACCGACGAAACUUGAAAAUCAUUAUUCAGAAUUCACAUUAUACUGUUAUCGUUAUAUUACUGUAAUAAAUUAUAUUGCUAUAAUUAAA